GAAUCUGCGAAUGGCUCAUUAAAUCAGUUAUAAUUUACUUGAUAAUUAAAUUCUACAAGGAUAACCGUAGUAAUUCUAGAGCUAAUACUUGCUGUUAACCUGACUUUUCGGAAGGGUUGUAUUUAUUAGAUAGCAAACCAUCAGCCCGCAAGGGUUGCUGUGAUGAUUCAUAAUAACUGAUCGGAGCGAGGCCCGGCCUUGCUAAAUCAUUCAAGUUUCUGCCCUAUCACUUUGAUGGUAGUGUAUCUGACUACCAUGAGGAUUACGGGUACGCGGAAUUAGGGUUUGAUUUGCGGAGAGGGAGCCUGAGAAACGGCUACCACUUCUAAGGAAGGCAGCAGGCGCGCAAAUUACCCAAUCCCAAUUCGGGGAGGUAGUGACAAGAAAUAAUAACCCGGGGUCUCAUGAUUUACGGGAUUAAAAUGAGAACAAUUUAAAUCACUUAACGAGGAACAAUUGGAGGGCAAGUUCUGGUGCCAGCAGCCGCGGUAAUUCCAGCUCCAAUAGCGUAUAUUAAAGUUGUUGCAGUUAAAAAGCUCGUAGUCGAUCUUCUAAGAGCGGUGGUCGGGAUCUCCAUCCCGGGUUGCUUGCUCUUAUCUGACUGAGACCACUAUUCGUGCUUAACUGUUGCGAAAGUGUAAAUCAGUCACUUUACUGAGAAAAAAUUAGAGUGUUCAAAGCAGGCACUGUGCCUUGAAUACACAAGCUUGGAAUAAUAGAAUAUGACUGAAGUCUCUUUGUUGGUUUUAAGACUUUGGUAAAGGUUAAUAGAAACAGUA
rnacentral:rRNA from 1 species